GUGCUUGCUCCAGCAGCACAUAUACUAAAAUUGGAACCACACAGAGAGGAUUAGCAGGGCCCUGCACAAGGAUGAUGUAAAACUUCAUAAAGUACUCGGUAGAUUA
ensembl:snRNA U6 U6 spliceosomal RNA